rnacentral:tRNA from 1 species
AAAAAGAUAAGCUAAUAAAGCUAAUAGGUUCAUACCCUAUAGAUAAAGGUUCAAUCCUUUUCUUUUUA